GGUGACGUUCAUGUCUAUGAGUCAAUCAGAGACUCUGAAAACACUGGAGAAGGUGACUAUCGAGUCUAUGAAACAAUCAGAGGCUCUGAAAACACUGGAGAAGGUAUUUAUGAAGAAGGUCCAUAAAGAGAUGAACAUCAUGGACGACAUGAGAAAACCAUAUUCAUGUAUUGGCACUGACAUGGCAGUGACGGCUUUAGAGAGAUUGAACAGCAAAUAUAAUGUG